rnacentral:rRNA from 1 species
GACGAACGCUGGCGGCGUGCUUAACACAUGCAAGUCGAACGGAAAGGCCCUGCUUUUGUGGGGUGCUCGAGUGGCGAACGGGUGAGUAACACGUGAGUAACCUGCCCUUGACUUUGGGAUAACUUCAGGAAACUGGGGCUAAUACCGGAUAGGAGCUCCUGCUGCAUGGUGGGGGUUGGAAAGUUUCGGCGGUUGGGGAUGGACUCGCGGCUUAUCAGCUUGUUGGUGGGGUAGUGGCUUACCAAGGCUUUGACGGGUAGCCGGCCUGAGAGGUUGACCGGCCACAUUGGGACUGAGGUACGGCCCAGACUCCUACGGGAGGCAGCAGUGGGGAAUAUUGCACAGUGGGCGGGAGCGUGAUGCAGCAGCGCCGCGUGCGGGAUGACGGCCCUCGGGUUGUGAACCGCUUUCGCCUGUGACGAAGCGUGAGUGACGGUAAUGGGUAAAGAAGCACCGGCUAACUACGUG